AGUGAACGCUGGCGGUAGGCCUAACACAUGCAAGUCGAACGGCAGCACAGUAAGAGCUUGCUCUUACGGGUGGCGAGUGGCGGACGGGUGAGGAAUACAUCGGAAUCUACUUUUUCGUGGGGGAUAACGUAGGGAAACUUACGCUAAUACCGCAUACGACCUACGGGUGAAAGCAGGGGAUCUUCGGACCUUGCGCGAUUGAAUGAGCCGAUGUCGGAUUAGCUAGUUGGCGGGGUAAAGGCCCACCAAGGCGACGAUCCGUAGCUGGUCUGAGAGGAUGAUCAGCCAAACUGGAACUGAGACACGGUCCAGACUCCUAAGGGAGGCAGCAGUGGGGAAUAUUGGACAAUGGGCGCAAGCCUGAUCCAGCCAUACCGCGUGGGUGAAGAAGGCCUUCGGGUUGUAAAGCCCUUUUGUUGGGAAAGAAAAGCAGCAGGUUAAUACCCCGCUGUUCUGACGGUACCCAAAGAAUAAGUACCGGCUAACUUCGUG
rnacentral:rRNA from 1 species